CCUGCAUGAUGAUAAGCAAAUAACUGACUUGAUGUGAAGGUCUGAAUUAGCUCUAACUGAUAGC
rnacentral:snoRNA from 1 species